rnacentral:rRNA from 1 species
ACUCCUACGGGAGGCAGCAGUGGGGAAUAUUGCACAAUGGGCGCAAGCCUGAUGCAGCCAUCGCCGCGUGUAUGAAGGCAAUGGGCCUUCGGGUUGAUGAAAUAGUACUUUUCAGCAGUGAGGAAGGUGGAGUCGUUAAUAGCGGCCUCAUUUGACGUUAGCUGCAGAAGAAGCACCGGCUAACUCCGUGCCAGCAGCCGCGGUAAUACGGAGGGUGCGAGCGUUAAUCGGAAUUACUGGGCGUAAAGCGCAUGCAGGUGGUUUGUUAAGUCAGAUGUGAAAGCCCGGGGCUCAACCUCGGAAUUGCAUUUGAAACUGGCAGACUAGAGUACUGUAGAGGGGGGUAGAAUUUCAGGUGUAGCGGUGAAAUGCGUAGAGAUCUGAAGGAAUACCGGUGGCGAAGGCGGCCCCCUGGACAGAUACUGACACUCAGAUGCGAAAGCGUGGGGAGCAAACAGGAUUAGAUACCCUGGUAGGAUAGCGU